rnacentral:misc_RNA from 1 species
GAUGAAGAACGCAGCGAAAUGCGAUAAGUAAUGUGAAUUGCAGAAUUCAGUGAAUCAUCGAAUCUUUGAACGCACAUUGCGCCCCUUGGUAUUCCGAGGGGCAUGCCUGUUCGAGCGUCAUUAUAACCCCUCAAGCUCAGCUUGGUGUUGGGGCCUGCUGCACUGGCAGCCCUUAAAAUCAGUGGCGGCGCCAUCUGGCUCUAAGCGUAGUAAUUCUUCUCGCUAUGGAGUCCUGGUGGAUGCUUGCCAUCUACCCCCAAUUUUUCUAUGGUUGACCUCGGAUCAGGUAGGGAUACCCGCUGAACUUAAGCAUAUCAAAGCGGAGGA